UGGAAACGAAUCUUGCCAGAAAAACGGGAUUUCAGGGCCUUCCUUCCGUGCCUGGGCACCGGGUCACCAGAAGGCUCUGCUGGAUGCCAAGGGGUCUCUGGGCUCUGGUCAGCUGCUUCUGAACCUGAGAUUCCUGUGUCGAGCCAGAAACGAGACCACCGAAGCUCGCUCCCUUCCUCUCCAUCUCUCCCUCUCUUCGUGACCCUGGUGGUGGCCUGUGAUGCGGAAGACAGCUCUGCAGCCAACUGGUGCUUCAGCCUUUGCGCUGUCCCGGGGCCGGCUUCCCCCGGCCUGUGGAGGAGGCCCAGGUAAAGGCCGGGGCUGUUGCUGGCUCUCCUCUCUGCUUCUGGAAGUUUCCGCCUCAGAAUGGGCAGGACAGACCCACUGACUGGACUUCAGAGUCUGGAGGGUUCCAUCGGUCCUGGAAAAGAAAGGUGGCCAUGUGGCCCCUUGCUGUAGCCCUUGUCACAGCCCCAAAGAGCAGCUCUGUCCCCUGAACAUUCUGGGUCCCGGGGGAAAGGUGGACAGACACCCCCGAUUCUGACUGGCAUUUGACAACAGGAGCCUGAACUUCUGUGCAAGAAAGGGAGACCUGAGGGUGAAGAGUGACCAAAAAAAACAAACAAAAAACCUGGAGAACAGAAAUCCCCUUCCUAGGUGGUUACGAAUCCUGACUUCCUGCAAAUCAGUGCCAAGAGAGCAACUUACAUUCAUUUCUUCAUCUUAAAAAGUAGCAACAACUCCUAUUGUUGUAAUUUAUUCCGCCACCACCUAACAGGACGGAGUGGAGGAAGUUUGGAUAAAUGGGCCGAGCUGGGUUCCUCUUCCUCCCUGCGGAGGGGGGAUCUCAGCACUUUGUUCAGAGCUGAGGAUGUGGGUUCUGUGUUUUCCAGUUUUCCCACCCAUUUUUUUCUUCCCCCUCCUGACGCAAGCAAAGAGUGAGGACGCGUGUGCAGGCUUAGAAGAACCCUCCAGAACAUGGAACUUUUAACCCUCUUUUAUAUAAAACAUGUGCUUUCUAAAGAGAAAUCAUUUCUUACUUUUUGAGACUCCUUGAUCCACGCUGGACAGUCGCCUGUAGUCCUGGUAGCUGUCGUGCUGGGAAGUCACAAGCGCAUCCUUACCUCAGCUACCUGCUCACGGAGCCCGUGGUGGACUCGGCCCCCUGGGGUUCAGACCCAGAUGUCAUCGUCUGUCUCAUCCUCCUUUGCCCCCAGGAAAGGAUACAUCUACCCGUAGUGGCCCCAGCAGACUGCGCUGUGUGCCAGGGAGCUGAAAUGGGGCUGGUCAGGAGCCCUGCGUGCCAUGCUUUGGGAGCCCUCACUCCCGUCGGGGUUGGCAUCGUCUGGUGGCAUGUCCAAAUGCACACAGCAGUGGACACUAAAAGCAACAGAACUGGAGAUCUGCACCUGCUCUAGGCUAGCCCCGUCCCCACACCCCACAACCUCGACUGCCAUGACACCGUCCCACCAGGCUGAAGGCGGGGAACGCCCUCCCCAGACCUGCCGUCCAGCAAGGACCCGAGACUGUUCUGUGAUUUCCAAAAGCAAGGCAGCCACGCUGUUCUGUUUUCCAUCCCCGCCGCCCCAGAAGUUUCUUAGCAUUCCAUGGAGAAAGCUGUGUUCCAAUGAAUCCUACCUCUUGCCCAGUCCCAGGCAGAGCAUGCAGCGCCCACUCUAGGGACCAAGACAGAGUAGUAAGAAGGGGUCAAGCCGGGAGCAAAACACCUCAGACACCUGGGCCUUCUCAGCCUUCUCCCGGAGGCCAGCCGGGUCUCCGGGGACCCUGGGCCCUGGGCCGCCCCUUCCUGGCCCUCCCGCUGCAUCUCAGACCUGACGCCUGCCCGGGGGGAUGUGGUGGCCUGUGCCCGCCUUCUCGCCCUCCUCCCAACCCACCCCCUUGCCCCCACCCUGUGUGUUUUGCCAGUUAAGCACCUGUGACUCCCUACUACUGGUUUUGGGUUGUUAGUUCUGUCUUUUUUUUAAUUAAAUAAAAACAUUUUUAAAAUGUU